UGGGGGCGUCCCUCACACGGUGGUCUCACCGUGUCGGCUGUUGGUGAGGCGAGUGUAGAACUUCCUCCACGAGUGCAGCGUCUUGCCCGACCAGAUCCAGAAGCCCGACGUGAUGCCCACGAUGAGCGUCAUGAGGUAUUUGAUCAUGUAGACCGUGAAGUCGGGCGACAUGCGCGGCGUGUAGUGCGCCGGGCACGGGAUGGCCAGGCUCUUGCAGUGCUGGCUCACCCACGAGCGCUCCCAGUGCUCGCGGAAGGCCUGCUCGUAGAAGUAGCAAGCGAUGACGAUGGUGGCGGGCACUGUGUAGAGCACGGAGAAGACGCCGAUGCGCACCAUGAGCCGCUCCAGCUUUUCGGUCUUGGUGCCGUCGUGCUUCAUGAUGGUGCGGAUGCGGAAGAGCGACACGAAGCCGGCCAGGAGGAAGGACGUGCCGAUGAACAGGUACACGAAGAGCGGCGCUAGCACGAAGCCCCGCAGCGGGUCCAGGCUGUUGAGGCCUACGAAGCACACGCCGCUCAGCAGGUCGCCGUCGAUCUGGCCCAUGGCCAGGAUGGUGAUGGUCUUGACGGCCGGCACGGCCCAGGCGGCCAGGUGGAAGUACUGAGAGUUGGCCUCGAUGGCCUCGUGGCCCCACUUCAUGCCGGCUGCCAGGAACCAGGUGAGCGACAGGAUGACCCACCAGAUGGAGCUGGCCAUGCUGAAGAAGUAGAGCAUCAUGAAGAGGAUGGUGCAGCCCUCCUUCUUGGUGCCCUGCACCACCGUGCGGUAACCGUCCUCGGAGAAGCGCUCGUUGCACACCACGCGCUCCUGGAGCACGAAGCCCGCGAUGUAGGCCACCGACACCAUGGUGUAGCAGCCCGACAGAAAAAUGAUAGGCCGCUCUGGGUAGCGGAAGCGCUGCAUGUCUACCAAGUACGUGGUGACAGUGAAGAAGGUGGAAGCGCAGCACAGCACCGACCAGGUGAGGAUCCAGAGGCGCGCGAAACGCGUCUCCUCCUGUGAGAAGAACAUGGAACCAUCGGGCCGCGCAGGUUCGCAGGGCGCAGCACAAUCACGCUCGCCCAGAAACUUGUAGCUGAGAUAGGAUGGCACCUUGAGGACGCGCGGGCAGUGGAAGGGGUGCUCCAGCGUGGCGUAGCGCGGGGGAGCGCCGCCGCCGCCCGGGCCACCCGGGGUGCCCCCGGCACCCGGCUGCAGUCCCGGCGGCGGCGCGGUGGUGAGUAGCGCGGGAGCUCCGUCCUCGGAGUGGUUCUGGCCGACGCAGAUCUGCUCGGCGCCGUGGCGCGGGAAGUGCUCGCAGCGCAGGCGCUCGGGCCACUGAAAACCGAACUUGUUCAUGAGGGCUUCGCAGCCCUGGCGCGCGCGCUCACAGAUAGAGCGGCACGGCGGGAUGGCCUGUUCCAGCACGGUGCACACGGGUGCGUACAUGGAGCACAGGAAGAAGCGCAGUUCGGGCGAGCACUGCACCUUCACCAGCGGAUAGAACUGGUGCACCUCUAGGCCUGCGUCCUCCUGGUUCGUGUGGCCCAGAAGGUUGGGCAUGAUGGUCUGGUUGUAGGCGAUGUCCGUGCACAGCGGGAUGGAGAUGGGCUGGCAGAAGCCGUGGUCCGGGAUGGAGAUGCCCUUCUCCCCGUGGAACUGGGCCGGCCCGGCGGCGGGCAGCAGCAGCAGCGGCAGCAGCAGGCGGGGCAGGGCGCUGCGGGGCCGCAUGCUGGCCGCCGCCCCCCACCCGGCUCCUUGGCGCCCCCCCCGCCCCCGCCCCCAACCCGGAGACUGCGCUUCUUCCCCGCCGCCUCCUCGCUGCGGCUGCCGCCUCCCGCGCCUCUUUGCAAACUUUACUC
rnacentral:lncRNA from 1 species